UGGGGAAUAUUGCACAAUGGGCGCAAGCCUGAUGCAGCCAUGCCGCGUGUAUGAAGAAGGCCUUCGGGUUGUAAAGUACUUUCAGCGAGGAGGAAGGCGUUGUGGUUAAUAACCGCAACGAUUGACGUUACUCGCAGAAGAAGCACCGGCUAACUCCGUGCCAGCAGCCGCGGUAAUACGGAGGGUGCAAGCGUUAAUCGGAAUUACUGGGCGUAAGCGCACGCAGGCGGUCUGUCAAGUCGGAUGUGAAAUCCCCGGGCUCAACCUGGGAACUGCAUCCGAAACUGGCAGGCUAGAGUCUUGUAGAGGGGGGUAGAAUUUCAGGUGUAGCGGUGAAAUGCGUAGAGAUCUGGAGGAAUACCGGUGGCGAAGGCGGCCCCCUGGACAAAGACUGACGCUCAGGUGCGAAAGCGUGGGGAGCGAACA
rnacentral:rRNA from 1 species